GAUCCUGGCUCAGAAUCAACGCUGGCGGCGUGCCUAACACAUGCAAGUCGAACGAGAAAGGGGAGCAAUCCCUGAGUACAGUGGCGCACGGGUGAGUAACACGUGACUAACCUACCCUGGAGUGGGGAAUAACUGAGGGAAACCUUAGCUAAUACCGCAUAAUACCUACGGGUCAAAGGAGCAAUUCGCUUCAGGAGGGGGUCGCGGCCGAUUAGCUAGUUGGCGGGGUAAUGGCCCACCAAGGCAAUGAUCGGUAUCCGGCCUGAGAGGGCGCACGGACACACUGGAACUGAAACACGGUCCAGACUCCUACGGGAGGCAGCAG
rnacentral:rRNA from 1 species